UACGUAGGGUGCAAGCGUUGUCCGGAAUUAUUGGGCGUAAAGAGCUCGUAGGCGGUCUGUCACGUCGGCUGUGAAAACUCGGGGCUCAACCCCGAGCCUGCAGUCGAUACGGGCAGACUAGAGUCCGGCAGGGGAGACUGGAAUUCCUGGUGUAGCGGUGAAAUGCGCAGAUAUCAGGAGGAACACCGAUGGCGAAGGCAGGUCUCUGGGCCACUACUGACGCUGAGAAGCGAAAGCAUGGGGAGCGAACAGG
rnacentral:rRNA from 1 species